CCUACGGGUGGCAGCAGUAGGGAAUUUUGCGCAAUGGGGGAAACCCUGACGCAGCAACGCCAUGUGUGGGAUGAAGCAUUUCGGUGUGUAAACCACUGUCGGCAGGGAAUAUGUACCUGCAAAGGAAGCCCCGGCUAACUUCGUGCCAGCAGCCGCGGUAAUACGAGGGGGGCAAGUGUUGUUCGGAAUUACUGGGCGUAAAGGGAGCGUAGGCGGGCUCUUAAGUUGGAUGUUUAAAACCGGGGCCUAACCCCGGCGUGGCAUCCAAAACUGGGAGUCUUGAAUGGGACAGAGGCCAGUGGAAUUAGAGGUGUAGCGGUGGAAUGCGUAGAUAUCUCUAAGAACACCAGUUGCGAAGGCGGCUGGCUGGCCACAUUGACGCUGAGGCUCGAAAGCGUGGGGAGCAAACAGGAUUAGAUACCCUUGUAGUC
rnacentral:rRNA from 1 species